GAUGAACGCUGGCGGCGUGCCUAAUACAUGCAAGUCGAGCGAACAGACGAGGAGCUUGCUCCUCUGACGUUAGCGGCGCGCGUGUGAGUAACACGUGUAUCCCCUCCCUUUAUGACUGAGAUCACUUCGAGAAACCGGCGCAAAUACCGUAUAAUAUAUUGUACCGCUGGGUUCAGUAGUGAAAGACGGUUUUGCUGUCACUUAUGCAUGGGUCCGCGCCGCAUUAGCUAGUUGGGAAGGUAGCGGCUUACCAAGGCAACGAUGCGUCGCCGACCUGAGAGGGUGAGCGGGCAACCGGGAACUGAGAGACGGUCAAGACUCCCACGGGAGGAAGCAGGAGGGAAGUUGCAGCAAUGGCCGAAAGGCUGCCGGAGCAAGGCCGCGUGAGUGAUGAAGGGCUGCGGACCGUAAGACUCUGUUAUUAGGGAGGACCAAAUGUGUAAGUAACUAUGCACGUGUUGACGGUAGCUGAUCAGAAAGCGACGGCUAACUACGUG
rnacentral:rRNA from 1 species